rnacentral:tRNA from 1 species
AAGAAUUUAAGUUAAUAUAUUAAACUAUUAGCCUUCAAAGCUUAAAAUAGAUACAAAUCUAAUUCUUA